UAAACGAUGAAUACUAGAUGUUUGGUACCUAGCGUACUGAGUGUCGUAGCUAACGCGAUAAGUAUUCCGGCCUGGGAAGUACGGCCGCAAGGUUAAAAACGUCAAAGGAAUUGACGGGGGCCCGCACAAGCGGUGGAGCAUGUGGUUUAAUUCGAUGCAACGCGAAGAACCUUACCUGGGCUUGACAUGUCCGGAAUCCUGCAGAGAUGCGGGAGUGCCCUUCGGGGAAUCGGAACACAGGUGCUGCAUGGCUGUCGUCAGCUCGUGUCGUGAGAUGUUGGGUUAAGUCCCGCAACGAGCGCAACCCUUGUCCUUAGUUGCCAGCGGUUCGGCCGGGCACUCUAGGGAGACUGCCGGUGACAAACCGGAGGAAGGUGGGGAUGACGUCAAGUCCUCAUGGCCUUUAUGUCCAGGGC
rnacentral:rRNA from 1 species